rnacentral:misc_RNA from 1 species
GGCAACAAACCAUUCUUUUAUACAUUUUACCAACAGCAAUGCUCUAUGGGAAAAAAAAUAUUCAUGUCUAGAUAUCAUUGAACAAAAUAACAAUAUUUCAAUCCUAUGGGAUUAUCUUCCCUAAUUAAGUUUGCAGAUAUUGCAACAAUCAUUGAAAGCACAGAAUCAACAAGAAGGAAAGGAACAUUAGACAACAUUUCAGAGUGCUCACCUGCACAAGCUUUUUGC